rnacentral:tRNA from 1 species
AUAAAUAAGAAGGAUAAGGGCGGAG